UGUCGUAUAUAAAGUGAAACUACCCGCUAAAAAUAAAAGCCAGCGCGGCUGACGUGGUAAGUUUAAGUGUACGAAUUGUAUAAAAUGUAACGGAGGAGUGGGCCCAACUGUGAAAGACUACGGUUCUAGGGUUUUGGAGGUUUAACAUCUCUAUAUAAAGAUGCUCAAGCCAACACAGAAAUCAUCGGCAUCCGCCAACUUUCAUUUUCCUAGGGUUUUGGUAGCAUAGAAAUUUACCCUAAAUUUCAGUUUCAGAUCUCAAAUUGAUUAGAUCGAUGGUCUUCUCCUUUCUUUGAAAUUUCGUAUUGUGAUUGCAUGUUGCACCCCGGGCUUACCUGAUUAUCCUUGUGACGGCAAAAGCCCCAAUGCACGUGCUAAAGCGGCGCCGUUCAGUGUUGCAGUUUGGCUUCGAUAUUGUUCCACGGCUUAUCUGUGUCAAAGAAACGGCUACAUCUCAUUAUCAAUCUAUCAUUUUAAAAUUUCCAUUUUUUUUUCUUUCCGAACUCCAUUAUUGGCCUCCCUACACCUUUAGCUUGUUUUUUAGUAAAAAUUACACGGUGAAAACAACGCUAGUCCUUGAGGCCAAUAUUAUUUUGGCGGUGUUACACGUGGUGGUCAUGGUGAUGGAUACCAUAUAAAUGGGGUUAGAAAAUUUGUUUUUUUAUUUUAUUUUAUUUUAUUUUAAAAUCCAUCUUUUUUAAAUGGGUAUUGUUUAUUUUUUAUUAGCUGAUUAAGAUAAUUAAUUUUCUUGGCAAUGAUUAAUAUUUAUCCGCGCUUCUGAGUGUAUUCAAUGAAGCACAAAAGUAAAUUAUGGUUGAAUUUCUUAAUAUGAGCCAACUUUUACAAUUAUUAUGUUUGUUCAUUUCUUUUUCUUUGAUUUUUUAAUUGGCUAUGAUGAUGUAUCUCAGCUUUAAUGCCAGUUCUGCUUCAGAAAAUUCUUGAUCGAAAGAGCUGUUUAUAACCUGAGCCUGUUCAUCUGUUCAAUAUAAUUUAACUUUUAUUCUCGUUUGAUUUUGCUCAAUAUUGUAUUUUUUAAUGUUUCUUAGAUUAGAUAAUAUGUGUUAUAAUCUAUGUGAAUUCCAUUGAUGACUCAAUCCAAUUUGUUGAGUUGUAGUGAAUCUGAGACCCUGUUUACAGGGAGAACCCCUUGGUGGAGCUACAUUUCGUAUGACAUUAAUGGAUUUAACUGAGGUUUUUGUUUACUUGUUUCAAAAUUUAAAAUGUGUUCUGAGUAUAUGCUAAUGCCUGGGAUGAUUCAAUCCACUUGUUUGAGGUGUUGUGGAGCCGAGACCCUGUUUACAGGGAGAACCCCUUGGCAAAACUUCAUUUCAUAUGACAUUAUUGGAUUUAACUGAGGCUUAUCAUAAAUGGUUUUUAUACUAAUCUGUUAAAUUUUUGUUUUGUAUUUACAACAAUAUUUUGUUUUGAGUUUUAACUAUACUCUUAUCCUUAAUUUUAUGUGGGUAUAAGAGUCUGAAAAACUCAUAAAUUACGUGUUGUCUAUCAGCUUCAUCUUUUGUAAUUCUACGAGAAUGGAGUUAAAUAACAGCACUAAAUAUAUUUAACUACAUUUUCCUUUCUGUUUUUCGUUUUCUAUUAAUGUUUUUAUUGCAUAUUUGUGCUGAUAUUGAUACGGAAUAUAGCGAAGGACUUAGUUUUUCAUUUGUAAUGAGAAUUAUAUACGGUUUCAUACAUAGUUCUCUUCUGACAUGUGAAUCUAUUUUGCUGAUAGUGUUAUCAUUUGGCCGUCUUUUUGUUAUGUGGGUGUGUAAUAGUGUGAAUACACAUGUUGCCAUGUUUUUAAUGAUCAAAACAUGUUACAAAGGUAAGGACCAAGCAGACUUUCAGGAAGUGAGUCUGGCUGAAUACUCCCAUUAAUUAUACAAGCACGAGUCCAGGUGACUAGAGUAUGUGCAAGAGAGUUGGAACUUCUUUUAGCAUAGUCAAAAUAACACUUGGAAUAAAGAACUAGGACAGUGGUGUUAAUGUGUUGUUUAGGUAUUCCUAUAAGAGCAGUCGUAGUAAAACCCAACAGAGCAGUCUCAACUUCUCUAAGAUUGUUUGCAUUUCUUCACGAGUUUUUCAAAAAAUGCAAUUUGGAUUAUGAGUGGGAUAGUCUAGACCUCGCCCGUCUCAUGAAAUUUACCAUUCUAGAGAGAUCCAAUAUAUGCCGUUGGAAUGUGCAAGUGAUGGAAGAAGGCAUUUUUCCGGCGGCUUUGGACAAAACUCUUAAAAUGGCCAAUAGAAAGCGACCAUUACCAGCAAGGAUACAAGUAAGAAAGAUCAAUUUUCUUGGCUUAAAUGAUAUAUUUCCGAAACAAGGAAUUGUGGACUUUUAAUUUAGAAUCCUAAAAUAAUUUGGUUUUUGCACGAAGAAUGAAGGCAAGCAAAUUCAUACUUGAGCUGCGAGGUUUUUCCCUGUUCUUAUGAUCUCUACUGUGACCCCCCCAAUAUUUUGUCAAUGGAAAUCCAAUUUGGAAUAUAUUGAGUUCAUCACAUCACUCCUGAUUUCCUGGUGUACAACAUUGGCAUAAAGACAAACUGAUAUGAUAUUAGUUGCGUUGCUAGAUUUGGAAGGUGUUCAGGUUUCGACCCUCCAAGUUUAGCUUUAACGCUAUCUAGAAUGCAUUUGAUCGUGCAAAGGUUAUAUUUCAACAAUGGCAUUUUAGGCCCCAAAGUAUCUAGUAGCAGAGAUUUUGACUUUUGACAUGAGCAGAUCCUGAGGGAGACUUCCACCGUGGGUUUGAGUGGUCUCCAGGGCCAUACCGUCCAAGCGAUUUUUGAUUAUUGGGAAUGAUGAUUUAAAGGAUUGGACCUCCACCCCCUACACUACAAAGUCAUCACCGGUGAGGGUUACGUUAAGAUUAACAACAAUAAGCCAAGAACUUGAAAAGCCACGCCUUGGUACAAAGAAUUUCUCAAAAAUCUGGGUUUGAUGCAAUAUCAUUACCCUAAUUGUGCCAUCGAAAUCUUGGUAGAACUUAAAAUCUAUCUGUAAAGUAUGGAAAUACUCUUUAUGAAAGCUAGAUAAGCGUCCCUAUUAUUGGA